UUUAUACGUCGAAUUUUGGUCGCGUCGAAUGCAAUUAAGACAAUAGAUAAUGAGAUGAUAAACCUCAUUAAGCUUCAUUAUCUAUUGUUUGAAUUGCAUUCGACGCGACCGAAAUUCGACGUAUAAA